UCCUGGUGGCGAGUGGGCGAACGGGUGAGUAAUAUAUCGGAACGUGCCCAGUCGUGGGGGAUAACGUAGCGAAAGCUACGCUAAUACCGCAUACGAUCUAUGGAUGAAANCGGGGGAUCGCAAGACCUCGCGCGAUUGGAGCGGCCGAUAUCAGAUUAGGUAGUUGGUGAGGUAAAGGCUCACCAAGCCGACGAUCUGUAGCUGGUCUGAGAGGACGACCAGCCACACUGGGACUGAGACACGGCCCAGACUCCUACGGGAGGCAGCAGUGGGGAAUUUUGGACAAUGGGCGCAAGCCUGAUCCAGCAAUGCCGCGUGCAGGAUGAAGGCCUUCGGGUUGUAAACUGCUUUUGUACGGAACGAAACGGUGAGCUCUAAUACAGUUUGCUAAUGACGGUACCGUAAGAAUAAGCACCGGCUAACUACGUG
rnacentral:rRNA from 1 species